ensembl:rRNA 5S_rRNA 5S ribosomal RNA
GCUUACGGCCAUACUACCUUAGGCACGCCCGAUCUCGUCUGAUCUCGGAAGCUAAGCAGGGUCGGGCCUGGUUAGUACUUGGAUGGGUGACCGCCUGGGAAUACCAGGUGCUGUAAGCA